AUUGAACGCUGGCGGCAGGCCUAACACAUGCAAGUCGAGCGGAAGAACGGAAAUUGCUCCUGGCUACAGCGGGCGACGGGCGAGUGAGGGAUAGGUAUAUGCCUGUCAGUUGGGUAUAACGUACUGACGCGGGGGCUAAUACCGCAUAAGUCCAGAGGACGAACGUGGGGGAUCAUCGGAUCUUCCGCCCUUAGAUGAUCCUAGGAGGGAUUAGCUGGUUGGUGGGGUAAAGGGCUACCAAGGCGACGAUCCGUCACUGCUCUGAGAGGAUGAUCAGCCACACUGGAACUGAGACACGGUCCAGACUCCUACGGGAGGCAGCAGUGGGGAAUAUUGGACAAUGGGCGAAAGCCUGAUCCAGCCAUGCCGCGUGUGUGAAGAAGGUCUUCGGAUUGUAAAGCACUUUAAUUUGGGAAGAAGAGCAGUAAGUUAAUACCUUGCUGUUUUGACGUUACCAACAGAAUAAGCACCGGCUAACUUCGUG
rnacentral:rRNA from 1 species